rnacentral:tRNA from 1 species
AGGCCUAUUUAGUUUAGUUAAAACGUUAAGUUGCAAUCUUAAAGAAAACAUUUUGUUUUGGGCUUU